AUGUUUUAUGUCCCAAAGACGGUUAACACCAUAUUCACUGGGAAGUCAAGAGAAAGUAGGUGUUGUCAAAACUUUACAUUACAGGCCGGGCGCGGUGGCUCACGCCU